UACGUAGGCAGCAAGCGUUGUUCGGAGUUACUGGGCGUAAAGGGUGUGUAGGCGGUUGUUUUAAGUUUGGUGUGAAAUCUCCCGGCUCAACUGGGAGGGUGCGCCGAAUACUGAAUGACUUCGAGUGCGGGAGAGGAAAGUGGAAUUCCUGGUGUAGCGGUGAAAUGCGUAGAUAUCAGGAGGAACACCGGUGGUGUAGACGGCUUCUGGACCGUAACUGACGCUGAGACACGAAAGCGUGGGUAGCAAACAGG
rnacentral:rRNA from 1 species